GAUGAACGCUAGCUACAGGCUUAACACAUGCAAGUCGAGGGGAAACGGCAUUGAGUGCUUGCACUCUUUGGACGUCGACUGGCGCACGGGUGAGUAACGCGUAUCCAACCUUCCCAUUACUGUGGGAUAACCUGCCGAAAGGCAGACUAAUACCGCAUAGUCUUCGAUGACGGCAUCAGAUUUGAAGUAAAGAUUUAUCGGUAAUGGAUGGGGAUGCGUCUGAUUAGCUUGUUGGCGGGGUAACGGCCCACCAAGGCGACGAUCAGUAGGGGUUCUGAGAGGAAGGUCCCCCACAUUGGAACUGAGACACGGUCCACACUCCUACGGGAGGCAGCAGUGAGGAAUAUUGGUCAAUGGACGGAAGUCUGACCCAGCCAAGUAGCGUGCAGGAUGACGGCCCUAUGGGUUGUAAACUGCUUUUGUAUGGGGAUAAAGUUAGGGACGUGUCCCUAUUUGCCGGUACCAUACGAAUAAGGACCGGCUAAUUCCGUG
rnacentral:rRNA from 1 species